AAGAUGAUCUGUAUUUUCUCUCUAAAGCAGAGUUCAUUUGCUGAGAAUGAUGGAGAAAAUCAGCAUCUAGCUAAUCAGCUGACCAUGAGAUGCAGAGAUUAUCUGGAAUUAUCCAGAUUGGUCCAUUUAAUUACAUGAGUCCUUAAAAGUGGAAAGUGGAAGAAGAGGCAGAAGAGUGUGUCAGAGAGAUGCUGUGUGAAAAGGACUCAACCUGCCACUUGAGGCUUUGAGGCUGGAGAAAGGGGCCAUGAACCAAGGAUUGUGAGCAGCCUGUAAAAUCUGGAAAAGACAAGGCAAUACCCUUUGCUGUCUCAGGGUCAAACAUGCAACUCCUGCCUGCUUGUAUGGCCAGCUGGGUUCAAGAAGGAAGGAACCUCAUUGUUGACAGUUACCAGAUGAAUGUGCCCCUUCUGUACAGCUAAGAAAUGGAAUAGACAUUGGUAACCUUCCACAGGCCCACACAUGUGUUAUCAGCCAUACCUUAGGACAGAAGGAAUGAGUUUGCAGAAAGGAUGCUCUUCAGAACUCAUGAAGACAUAAGGUGCUUCAAAAGAGGAGACUUUCGGAACAUGAGCAGGGAAAUUGUCACUUGAUAGAUGACAAGCAUUGUGAGAAACAACAGUUUGCCUUUCUUCAUUCCCUUCCUGGUUAUCUUUCCUGUCACAUGAAGAAGAAAUGAAACACCAGAGAGAAUCAGGUUAUCAUCAUCUACACCAGCCACUGUCACUGGCCUUCAAAGUUCAACCUCCCUGGAACUCCAGAACUCCCCACUUUAUAAGAUGAAUGGCUAAUUGGAUCCUAGUACAUAAGGAAACACUGGCAAAAUAGCGACAACUCCAGGAAGGAAAUUGGUAGACUCAACGUCCAGGGAACCUACGAAUCUGCUAUCCCAAGCCUUCUGCCCCCAAACACUUCACCCUGAAAUACAGCCCAGAGCAUGCACUCAGUGAGUCCCACUGAAGAAGAGACGGAAGGCAGAACUGAACAAGAUGUGUCCAGAAGAGGUAGCCAUAGAUCAUGGACAUGACCAAAAGAAGCUUACUUUAUUUUCAACCCUACAACCAUACUGAGAAUUUAGCCCUGGGGACAUCUUCCGAUAUAAUCUGGCAUAGAAGAGUGGUUAUCACACCUUUAGCAUGGGACCCUUGAGACACCUUUGCUGUGAAUAAUGGAGAAGCAAAAGGAGUUACUAAUGAAGACAAACUAAACCUGAGAACAGAGAGAGCCUAACUAUGUGCUCCAGAAGUGCCAUGUGUGUCUAAGGCUGUACAGGAAGCAUGGCACCAACAUCUGCCCAGCUCCUAGGGAGGCCUCGGGGAGCUUUUACUCAUGGUGGAGGGUGAAGCAGGAGCAAGUACAUCAUACGGCGAAAGCAAGAGCAAAUGAAGUUUCGCUCUUCUUGCCCAGGCUGGAGUGCAAUGGCACAAUCUCAGCUCACUGCAACCUCUGCCUCCUGGGUUCAAGCGAUUCUCCUGCCUCAGCCCCCUGAGUAGCUGGGAUUACAGGUUCCUAUAAAGUUCCUGAUAGUUGAAGAAAGUCAGGAGAUCUUAGAAACUGACUUUCAUUUAUAACCUGCUGAUUCACCUAGAUCAGGUUACUGGGAAGAAAUCCAAGUCAGACCUCCUGACCUACUCGAAACAGCAUGAGGAAUUUUGGAAAUACAUCUGGUGCUUCCAGUGACUGUAUAAUAAUCAAUGUAUCCUGACUCUAAAGAAAAGCAGAAGUGAAACUGAAAGUACAGACUACAAGGUGGAAUAUGAUCCCUCUACUAUCAACUAAAAGUCUUAGACUUGCUACCCUUCUGAAAAUGGUUCUGAAGGGGCCCAGGAAGAAACCUCCUCUUCCCCAGCUGAGUUGAGAACCAAGUGGAAGACAAAGAAGUUAGACAGCAGAUGAAAAAGUGACCUGCCUUGCACCUUGCCAGUUGGCUUGCUAGCUCUCCCCUGAUUUGAACUUCUGACAACAGAACAUGCUCCACCAAACUUACCAUGUGAAGGACAGCACAUGGGCAUUCUUUCUGAGACCUGCAAAGAAAACAAAGGGAGAGGCUAAGCAGACAAAGGAAAACUCUUUCUUCUCAAAUCAAUCAGAUAAUGAACUCCUGUUCCCUUUAGGAGAAAUGAGUGGGUGGGGAGAGAAAAGCAAGCAGUUGACCUCUGGAGGUCCUUAGACUUAAAAACAUAAAGCCCAAGGAAGAAAAUUCCUCCCCAGCAUUAACUUGGACCAGUAAUGUUUUUCUAUUUAUAUUCCAUAUGUAAAUAUGCCUGUGAGGUAUUAUGUAUUGUCUUUG
ensembl:lncRNA novel transcript